AGCGAACGCUGGCGGCAUGCCUAACACAUGCAAGUCGCACGGGGGGGCUUCGGCCUCCCAGUGUCGGCCGGGUGAGGAACGCUUAGGGACCUGUCGAUGGGCGGCGGAUAACCGCGGGAAAAUGUGGCUAAUACCGCACUACUCCGCGGCGUGACAGCCGGGGCCAAAGGCGGGAGCCGCCCGCCGAGGGGGCUGCGUCCGAUUAGCUGGUUGGCGGGGUUGCGGCCCACCAAGGCGUGGACCGGUAGCUGGUCUGAGAGGGUGAUCAGCCACACCGGGACUGCGACACGGCCCGGUCUCGUACGGGAGAGAGCAGUGGGGAAUAUUGGGCAAUGGGCGCAAGCCUGAUCCAGCAAUGCGGCGUGGGUGAAGAAGGUCUUCGUAUUGUGAAGCCCUUUCGGCGGGGACGAUGGUGACGGUACCCGCAGAAGAAGCCCCGGCUAACUUCGUG
rnacentral:rRNA from 1 species